GAUGAACGCUGGCGACGUGCCUAAUACAUGCAAGUCGUACGGAAAGGCCCUUCGGGGUACUCGAGUGGCGGACGGCUGAGUAACGCGUGGGAACGUGCCCCAAAGUGAGGGAUAACGCACCGAAAGGUGUGCUAAUACCGCAUAUGGUCUUCGGAUUAAAGCUUCGGCGCUUUGGGAGCGGCCCGCGUACGAUUAGAUAGUUGGUGAGGUAAUGGCUUACCAAGUCGACGAUCGUUAGCUGGUCUGAGAGGAUGAUCAGCCAGACCGGGACUGAGACACGGCCCAGACUCCUACGGGAGGCAGCAGUAAGGAAUCUUCCACAAUGGGGGCAACCCUGAUGGAGCAACGCCGCGUGCAGGAUGAAGGUUUUCGGAUCGUAAACUGCUUUUAUAAGUGAAGAAUAUGACGGUAACUUAUGAAUAAGGAUCGGCUAACUACGUGCCAGCCGCCGCAGUAA
rnacentral:rRNA from 1 species